rnacentral:rRNA from 1 species
UACAGAGGGUGCAAGCGUUAAUCGGAAUUACUGGGCGUAAAGCGUGCGUAGACGGUUACAUAAGUCGGGUGUGAAAGCCCCGGGCUCAACCUGGGAAUUGCAUUCGAUACUGCGGGGCUAGAGUGCGGAAGGGGCAACUGGAAUUCUUGGUGUAGCGGUGAAAUGCGUAGAUAUCAGGAGGAACACCGGUGGCGAAGGCGGAUCUCUGGGCCUUACCUGACGCUCAGGUGCGAAAGCUAGGGGAGCGAACAGG